GUAGCCACCCACUCCUGUGACACACCCUUCCUCUCAGAAGUAGAGACAAAGGCUGCUGAAUUCAGAAGGGACACAGGCCUGACCAGGGUUCACACUACAGCCGUCAGACUGUGACCACCUUCCUGAGAUUAUUUGAAGUGGGGGGCAGGAGGGCCCUACCUCUCUCAGCCAACCCCUUGCAUCCUGCCAGAUCCCAUGGGAAGGGGCAGCCAGGUAUGGUCAGGCCAUUGAAGGCCCCUCCUCUGACCCAUUUCUCUGUGUCCCACUUGCCCAGGUGGUUGCUGUUUCUCUUUACUGUUGCCAUGGGAACCCCAGGUGUCUGAAGUGUGUGUAAGCGGGGCUCCCUGAGGAGCUGGGUGGUGUGGGGGUCAGGGGCUACCAGUGGGAGUGAUCCCAGCCUGGGCUCUGAGCCCUUCUGCCUCAUCUGGGCCUAGAGCUCCACAGAGGCUCAUCCUGUGUACCCCACACAGGUUUUGGUCUUAUCAAUUUCCCCUUUCUAGUCCCUGCAUUCCAUCAGUCACCACCACAUCCUGAUUGCUUAUCCUCACUGGUCAGAUGUCUCUGGGACCCAUCUAUUCCACACCAACUUCCCCAUGGCCCAUGACAGCGGGCCUUCCUCCUUGUCUGCUCCCCUCCAGGUUAUCUCCCAACCUUUGAUCCACUUCUGUCCCUCUUGGCUUAAGAGCUAUUAAUGGCUCCUGCUGGCCUUUGGACAAAGCCGUGCUUCUAACAUUGAGUCCCCUUAUCUCCCCCCUUUGUCCCUCCUCAGGUGUUUUCUAGGUGGCCAGAUCUGUGCAAUGGGUAUCAGCAUGCACCCCAGCCUCAAGUUCUGCAGCAUCGUCGAGAUGUUAGCAGGUUCUCCUUGAAGGAGUGUUCCCAUUAUGAGCAGCACAUUCUAUCUCCCUUUGCUGGGUGCUUGCUUAGCAUCCCAUUAUAUCUCAAUCAACGGCUGGAGUCAACAACUUUGAUUUGUUUUGACCACAAAUAAGGAAGGUGCACAAGGAGCCAUGGGUGCAUCCUCCCUCUAUCUCCCUACCCUGAGCCUGAAUGCUAGCCUAAAGUAUGGUACCUUGUCCUUUGGGACCCAGCAUUCUGGGACUGCUCCUCUCCUCCGUUUGGGGUCUCCAUGGGGAUCCUUGUCAGCCUGGAGCAGAAGAGGCACUGAAAACCAGCUCUCUGCUGACACUGUUAACACCGCUUGUCUCUGCCUCCUGUGCUUCUAGGAUGUGUUUUGUCUAAACCUCAGAGUGUUCUUCUCAAACUUGACCUGGUUGCCAACACUUAAAACCUGGGAGAUUCCACAACAAAUUCUGAAUUUUAAACUUCUCCUAAGCACGAGAAGACCUAUCAACACGGUGCGGAAUGCCCCUCUGUGGAAUUGAAGACAGACACAAACCAUUUACAUGCAAAGCAUCAAACCUGCAAGCAAGUAGGUGGCUCAGGGCACCUGCUGAGCCUCCUGCAAAUCCUGAGGCUCUGACCCCUGUCAACGGGGUGGGGGUGGGGGGGUGAGGGGCUCUUCUCAGUGAGCCCCUCUUUAUAGGGGUGACUUGGACCUGGCCCAUCCCUUUCCAGGGGACCCUUCUGCCAAGAUCCGUGGCAGUCAUGAAGAGGGGCCAUGCUGAUCUGGGGAGUGUUCUUACAGUCUAUGAGACAGCAGGGAUCGUAUGCAAAUCAAGUCGAUGAAGCCUAAGUGUUUGUCCCACCUCUGGUUCUGGGGAUCAGUGCCCAAGUGGCUGGAGUUAGCAGGGCUGAGAGAGGACAGGGAGGGGCCUGCCUGCAGCUUUUGCAGUCACUGCCUUGGGCUAAGCAGAAGAGAAGACUCUUAGCAGCUGCUGGUGUCACCCUGGUAAUCGGAGCGUGGUGGGUGAGAACCAUUCCCUGCAAGAUCCAAAAGCCAGGAACAGUGUGGGACCAGCCACACUGGUGCUGCAGAGCCUGCUUGCUAGCUGCAGUGAUCCCUCUAAAAAUAGCAAGCUUGGGGCUGGUGGCCGAUGUUUCCUGGAACCCAGGAAAAGCUGGCUCAUGAGAGGGUGACCUGGCACCCUUUUCUGUGUCCUGCUUCUUACAGGGACUUGGAGAAAGGAUGGGGACUGGCGAAGGUGGUGAGCACCACUCCUGUGGUGAGGGGCAUAUAGAGUCCUGACUUGAAGACCUCAGACUGAGGUGGGGGGACGCCCAUCCUGGCCUGCUCUCCUUGUCAGCACAGCUGAAGAAGUGCCUGACAGAUGAAGCACGGUGCCCAGAUGUGGUUUGCUUUGGGUUCUCCAGGUGCCUCAAAUAGCCAGACCAGUCUUGGAAAGCUCAAGUGCUACAUGUUUCAGCUUCAAAACUUUCUGCAAAGCUACAGUAAGCAGACCUGUGUGAGACUGGCAUAAAGACAGAGACAGCUUCAUGGAGUGGGAAAGAGAGGCCAGUUACUGGGUGGAGUUAGACUGCUGGGGUAAGCUUCAGCUAACUCAUGUCUGCCGGCUUUGUGUCUGUCUUUGAGGAGGAGAUAUUGAAGGUGCUUACACUUUAAUGUACACAAGGCUCUGGGUUAGUGCUACAAGUUCUUCUAAGUCCAGGAGGUGUUCAAAAUCAUUUUUACCCUUCUGGAGAUUUUUAAAUGUCCAUAAUUUUAUUUAAACCCUUCUUCCAAACAUGAUUAUAACUAUUAUCAUCAUUAACACUGUUCUAUUGUCAAUGAUUUACAAACACAUACACACACAUAUACACACACACAUUGGUACACGCACACACACAUACACACAUGCACACACACAUACACAUGCACACACACAUGCACACACAUAUAUACACACAUGCAAACAUGCACACACACAUACAUACACAUGCACACACACAUACACACAUGCACACACACAUACACACAUACACACAUGCACACACACAUGCACACACAUACACACAUGCACACACAUACACACAUACACACAUGCACACACAUACACACAUGCAUACACACAUACACACACAUGCACACACACAUACACACAUACACACACAUGCACACACACAUACACAUACGCACACAACACACACAUACAUGCACACACAUACACAUACACACACACAUACACACACAUGCACUCACACACUUACAAUUUUUCAUGUUUACUCUUGUUUUGUUUACAUCUGCUUUGUCUUCAGCUUCUUUUUUCUUUUUGUUGAAGAAUCUUCUUGAUGAGUUCUUUUAACAACGGUCAGCUGGGGUUGGGGAUUUAGCUCAGUGGUUAGAGCGCUGGCCUAGGAAGCGCAAGGCCCUGGGUUUGGUCCCCAGCUCCAAAAAAAGAACCAAAAAAAAAAAAAAAAAAAAAAAAACAACGGUCAGCUGUGUGUAAAUUCUCUUGCUCUAUAUAUGUGAAAAAGACCUUAUUUUGCAUUUAACAUUGAGUGACUAUUUGGUAACAAAGUUUACUCUCAAAAAAACAAACCAGGGGUUGGGAAUUUAGCUCAGUGGUAGAGCACUUGCCUAGCAAGCGCAAGGCCCUGGGUUCAGUCCCCAGCUCCAAAAAAAAAAAGAAAAAAAACCAAACAAACUAAAAAACCCAAAAACCAAAAAACAAAAAACCUUUACUUAAAAGGGUUUGCCCCAUGGUUUUCUGGCCCUUUUCCUGUUUGGGAGAGGCUGCCUAUUCGUCGGCAUUCCUUAGUAGACAGAAGGUCUAUUUCCUUGCUUAGCCUGAGGUUUUGUCUUGCGUUUGAUCUGCAGUUGUACUGUAGAGAUUGUUUGAGCUGUAUGUAUGAAGCUAGACACACAGUGUUUACCGUACUUUCAAUGUGGAAGUUGACUUUUAAUUACAGGAAAUAACCUUUCAUAAUUACCUUCAGUUGUUAACUCAAGAAGAUACUCAGAAAGCCUCCUCCAUCAGACUGGCCUUUGGGAAGUCUCCUCUAUCAGACUGGCCUCUGGAAUUGCUACUUGAGGUCUUGCCUCAAGAUCUACCUGAACCAUGCCUGCCUAGAUGCCUAGAUGCUACCCUGCUCCCACCUUAAUGAUGACAGACUAAAUCUCUGAACCUGUAAGCCAGCCCCAAUUAAAUGUGGUCCUUAUAAGAGUUCCCUUGGUCAUGGUAUCUCUUCACAGCAUUAAAACCCUAAGUAGGACACUAUGCCACUGUUUUACUAUGGGAUUCUAUAAUAAAAUACCACAGACUGGAUGGCUUAAAAAAUAGACAUUAGUUCCUCAUGGGUUCUGGAGGCUGGAAAGUUCAAAGGUAUGGUCCUAGCAGAUUCAGUGUCCAAAAAGGACCAAUCUCUUGUAACUUUUUAAAAAUUAUUUAUUUAUUUUUAUUUAUAUAAGUACACUGUCACUGUCUUUAGACACAACAGAAGAGGGUAUUGGAUCCCAUUACAGAUGGUUGUGAGCCACCAUGUGAUUGCUGGGAAUUGAACUCAGAACCUUUGAAAAAGCAGUCGGUGCUCUUAACCACUGAACCAUCUCUCUAGC